rnacentral:rRNA from 25 species
UAGUGGCGAACGGGUGAGUAACACGUGGGCAAUCUGCCCUUCACUCUGGGACAAGCCCUGGAAACGGGGUCUAAUACCGGAUAACACCUGCCCGGGCAUCUGGGUGGGUUAAAAGCUCCGGCGGUGAAGGAUGAGCCCGCGGCCUAUCAGCUUGUUGGUGAGGUAGUGGCUCACCAAGGCGACGACGGGUAGCCGGCCUGAGAGGGCGACCGGCCACACUGGGACUGAGACACGGCCCAGACUCCUACGGGAGGCAGCAGUGGGGAAUAUUGCACAAUGGGCGAAAGCCUGAUGCAGCGACGCCGCGUGAGGGAUGACGGCCUUCGGGUUGUAAACCUCUUUCAGCAGGGAAGAAGCGAAAGUGACGGUACCUGCAGAAGAAGCGCCGGCUAACUACGUGCCAGCAGCCGCGGUAAUACGUAGGGCGCAAGCGUUGUCCGGAAUUAUUGGGCGUAAAGAGCUCGUAGGCGGCUUGUCACGUCGGGUGUGAAAGCCCGGGGCUUAACCCCGGGUCUGCAUUCGAUACGGGCUAGCUAGAGUGUGGUAGGGGAGAUCGGAAUUCCU